AAUAUUCGGUUGCUAAAUAGUAUAAUAUCCCUUCGUUAAUACUAAAACAAAAUUAAUCCCAAAAAGAACGUAUGUUUCCCUUAAUUUUUCCCACGCCCACCCCUCUAAAUAAAUAAAUAAUAAAGAAAAAAAAGCCUCGAAUCAAACAGAACAACCUAGCAAUAGAAACUGCCAAGUCUUCAUCUCGCAGACUCAAAAUUCUUAUUCUCUAAGGCGUAUCUUUAUUUGAAAUCAGUGGAUAAAUUGUAGUGCUUGGUGAUAUACUUUUUCUACUUUCAGUUUUUUGUAAUUUGAUAUUCUCUCAUGAUUUCUCUUUAUUUCUUAUGUGUAGAAUCUUUAGAAUUAGCUUCAAAAUUUUACUGGGCCGCAUAGGAAUAAGCUCGAGAUUCUGUCGCCACAAAUUAGGAAACGCAGAGAUAUUCUAAGAGAGCUUCAGGUGCGUUCUUGGUUCAAUUUCGAAAUUUUUCUCUGUUCUUCUUACUUUUCUUGUGAUAUUUAAUUUGUGAAAAUUUAUCUGUGAUGGUUGUGUUAAAUUGGUGAAGGAUUGUUAUAAUAACUUAUAGCCCUAAUUGUUUUGGGAUCUAUUGUAGAUUGCACUUUUAUAGUUGUCCAUGGAAAUUCUCACCAGCUGUUCGACUAAUUUCCUGAAUGAAUAUUGAAACCUUAGAACUAGCAUCUUUCAUCCCAAGUGCUAAAUACACUCUAAGAACUUUUUUCAGUCAAUAGUUUUUGCAAUACGUGUUUUAAUUUUCAGUAAUACAUAUUUUAAUAAAGAAAUAUAAUAUCUUCUCAAAAAUUUGAUAAACUACAAAAUAUUGUACCAUAUAGCAACAUAAUUGCCUUGUAGAGGCAACAUAAAAAAUGAUAGAUACCAGAAAAGUAGAGUAAUAUUAGCACUGAAAAGGAAAAUAAUAAUGGAAUACAACACUGAAAGAUCCUAAGACCCACCUUCUUAGAAACAGUCAAAUACUAUAGCAUUUGAAAUACUACCACAGUUAGCCAAUUUCAAUAAGUAAUAAUUUUUGAGCUAGAAAACUGACACCUCGAAAAGUUUCCACGAAAGGUAAAUAAGGUAAGAGCACAACAAGUAGUAGCCAAAUAAUAAGAUUAUAAAUGCAGCUGCAAUGCAAGCUUUACAUUCAUUUUAAGACUCUAGUAAUCAUGGUUACUCUAUUUUUCAGUGUAUGUCUUCUUAUAAGAAAGUACAGUGAGCAAAUCAAACAUAUUUAGCAACAAAAAGAACAGUUGUAGGGAUCAUCAAAUCGAAAGAACUUUAUUCGUCAUGAGCAUGUUGUAAAUAAUUUUUCGUUAAUUCCUUUUAAUUGGGAUUAUUUUUCGACUUUCUUCUAAUUCUAGAGGUGUUGGAAAAUAUAUUUUGAGGCUGAUAAAAGGGGUUUUUUUUAAGCUGCUGAUUGUGAUGCUUCAUUGACUGAGGAGACUGAAUGACCAGUGAGAAAGGACACUCUUAAAUUUAUUUUUUGAAUCUAUUUUAUUCUGCUUUUAUAAUUGAAUGACCAUUGCACUACUUAGAGGAAGGUAAAGUGAUUAUAGUGCUAGUGGAGUGUGUAAAGGUGGAGUAUUUGCAGUGCUAGUGGAGAGUACUUUGACAGAAAUAGCUCAUGUUCCUUUUAUUUUUUCAAAUGCUUUUGCUUGUUUCAGUAAUUGAUUUACUGACUCACAUGAGUUUUUCCAAUAAAAUGUAUCCCUUACAAUAUUAUCAACUUAUCACAUGGGAAUCUGUAAAAUCCUAGGUGGACAUAGGUAAUUUUGAACUCUAUCAAAUUCAAGUUGAUUUCCGUUGUAGUAUAACUCAUGUAUCUCAUGCUGAAAAGGAUAUAUGGCAUUAUUAUAAAUUGUAUUUGACGAUUCAUUUGAUGCUUUACCCUACAUCAUUAGGAUAAGAGUAUCGAAAAGGGGGACUGUGUGAAUGAAGAAUCGCAGGUUACUAAAUGCUCUAAUUUUCUUAUAUAUACUUAAAGGAUCUUAUGAUCCAACCCUUGUUUUCUCUCUUUCUCGCAUCUCCUCCAUGCGUUCUCCUAACUCACUCUAGCUUGUUGGGAGAAAUAUGUCCUUUGCAACUUAGCAAUUGCAUUUCUAGAAAAUUUUUUCACAUACUCUCAACUUGUUUGUGCAGCCAGCCAUCUUGUGAUGCUUUUGCUGAAAUUUCUCAUGUGGGAAUCCAACUCUCUUAUUUUUAAUUGUUAUUUAUUUCUUUUCUUUGGGUCAUAUGGGGGAUCUGCAUGACCGUGAGGUUGUUGUGCAGUUAUUGGAUUAUAUAUUUUUUUUACUUGUUCUUUUCCUCCUGAACACUUGGACAGAAUCCUAUUUUGUACACCAAUGACUAUCUUUUGAAAUCUGAAUAUUUCAGUCUCGUGGCAUGUGAUGUAUAAUGUGUAAAUUUUCUAUGCACAAACACAUUGAACACAUGUAAUUACAUCUCUGUAGUUCUAACGUACAUUUGGUGAAGUUAUUGUGCUCCUUGCUCUCAGGGUAAUAGUAUCCUGGCAGAUUAUGCCUCCGAGCAGGUUGAAUUUAUUGCUCUUUCGCAAAGGACAGGAGAUCCAAAGUAUCAACAGAAGAUAUGUGCCAAUAAAAUUUCUCAAAAAAUAUAACUUCUUGAUAGCUACUAGUAAAUAAAACUACAAUUCUAAAUUUAGCAUGGCAGACAAUUGAUUAAGCUACACAUACUUGAAAUCAGUAUUCUGCUAGUGACCAAAUGGCAUAUGUUACUAUUUCAGGUGGAGAAUAUUAUCUUAGAACUUAAUAGAACUUUUUCAGAUGAUGGUUUACUUCCAAUAUACAUUUAUCCGGAGAGAGAGAGAGAUAACAUUAUAGUCCACUUUUUCAGAUGAUGAUAAGAAAACUAAAGUUUGAAGAAGCUGUCCUUGAAGAAAGUGCAGAGCAAGUAGCAACUGAAAAAGCUAAAGAACAAGUUGAACUAGAAGGGGAGCCUAUUUUCUCUUUUGUUAGGAGUUUGUUAAGAGUUGUUUAAAAGAUUUUCUAUUUGUAAUACUACAAUCUAUUUUCUGUUUUGUUAGGAGAUGCAAGUAUAUUGUCCAUUUUGGAUAGGUAUAUAUUUGGUAGUGUUUUGUUUUUGUUCCUUGUAAUUAACUGUGAAAUUUAUAGAAAUAUUGAUUAUUUCUUA